CGUCAACCAAAAGAAAAUUGUUCCCGUAAAAAGUACUACCUUUGGGAAAAGCCUUGAACCACUUUUCCUGCCUCCAAUAAUCUGAUCCCUUUGGCUCUCUUGUAGGGUCCCCUAAUUCAAAUCAUGCCCAUGGAAGAUGAUGCUUUUUGUUGGGUGUUACAUACAUUACAUCUAUAAUAAUAACCUAUGCAUAUACAUAUUAUUUACUAGUCAAUAAAAAUAAUGCAUUAUAUAUAUACAUGUUUAUAUAUCGAAUUAGGUUCCAAAAGGAGAACGAAAAUGGUUGGUAAUUGAGCCCAAAAGUUAACCUAAAAGGUGCAAUCAUGGUGUUGUUGUUGCCGAUUACAAAUGGAGCUUCCUGGGUCCAAUGAAUAUCAUCUUCCAAUUCAUCAAAACGAUGGCUCUUUUUUGGUUGAGCCCAAUCUUGCGUAAGCAUAAUGAAUAUUCAUGCAUUAAUAAUAUACAAAUAUGAUUACCUUUUUCUCUUACUCAUCACUCACGUGCAAAAAAGCCUCCUCCAAUUGUGUCUUGCUCAUGAUAUCAACCUCAAACUCAAUCAAGUUCUAUGGAAUUAAUAGCAACUGGCUAUUAGGCUAAAAGCUUGUCAGUGCAAUAUUGUAACUCUUUUGCCCAUCACCACAAAGCUUGACCUAAUUGAACUUUACAUGUUUGUGGCUGGAAGGAGCUCAUGUUGUAUGAUUAACCAAAACAUGUCCUAUCUUUUUAUCAUAUAUAUCAUUGGUUUAAUGAAGACCUAUUCCUAAAUUAGUUAAAUCAUUAGGUACUAAUUAAUGAGGAUCAUAUCAAAGUCUUGUGUUGGGAAACACUUUAAAAUAGUUUGUGCAAAUCCACCUGUGUAC
rnacentral:lncRNA from 1 species